CCAAUAGCGUAUAUUAAAGUUGUUGCAGUUAAAAAGCUCGUAGUUGAAUUUCGGGAUCAAAAAAUCGGUCAUGCCUUGGUAUGCACUGGUUUUAUUGGUUCUCACCUUCUAAAGAACCAUAAUGUCAUUCAUUUGAUGUUAUGGGGAAUUAGGACUGUUACCUUGAAAAAAUUAGAGUGUUUAAAGCAAGCUCACGCUUGAAUACAUUAGCAUGGAAUAAUGAAAUAGGACAUCAGAUUCUAUUUUGUUGGUUUCUAGGAUCGAUGUAAUGAUUAAUAGGGAUAGUUGGGGGCAUUAGUA
rnacentral:rRNA from 1 species